rnacentral:rRNA from 1 species
GUGGGGAAUAUUGGACAAUGGGCGAAAGCCUGAUCCAGCCAUGCCGCGUGUGUGAAGAAGGUCUUCGGAUUGUAAAGCACUUUAAGUUGGGAGGAAAGGCAGUAAGUUAAUACCUUGCUGUUUUGACGUUACCGACAGAAUAAGCACCGGCUAACUUCGUGCCAGCAGCCGCGGUAAUACGAAGGGUGCAAGCGUUAAUCGGAAUUACUGGGCGUAAAGCGCGCGUAGGUGGUUUUGUAAGUUGGAGGUGAAAUCCCCGGGCUCAACCUUGGAACUGCCUCCAAAACUGCAUGACUAGAGUACGGUAGAGGGUAGUGGAAUUUCCUGUGUAGCGGUGAAAUGCGUAGAUAUAGGAAGGAACACCAGUGGCGAAGGCGACUACCUGGACUGAUACUGACACUGAGGUGCGAAAGCGUGGGGAGCAAACAGGAUUAGAAACCCGUGUAGUCC